UACGGAGGGGGCUAGCGUUGUUCGGAAUUACUGGGCGUAAAGCGCACGUAGGCGGCUUUGUAAGUUAGAGGUGAAAGCCUGGGGCUCAACUCCAGAACUGCCUUUAAAACUGCAUCGCUUGAAUCCAGGAGAGGUGAGUGGAAUUCCGAGUGUAGAGGUGAAAUUCGUAGAUAUUCGCAAGAACACCAGUGGCGAAGGCGGCUCACUGGCCCGAUACUGACGCUGAGGCACGAAAGCGUGGGGAGCAAACAGG
rnacentral:rRNA from 1 species